rnacentral:pre_miRNA from 1 species
AUAAAGAUAAUCAACCCCCUUCAGGCACGCCUGCAAACAUUUAAACAAACAAAUGUUUAAAUGUUUCCAGGCGUGCCUGAAGGGGGUUGAUUAUCUUUUUA